rnacentral:rRNA from 1 species
UACGAAGGGGGCUAGCGUUGCUCGGAAUCACUGGGCGUAAAGGGUGCGUAGGCGGGUCUUUAAGUCAGGGGUGAAAUCCUGGAGCUCAACUCCAGAACUGCCUUUGAUACUGAAGAUCUUGAGUUCGGGAGAGGUGAGUGGAACUGCGAGUGUAGAGGUGAAAUGCGUAGAGAUCGGCAGGAACACCCAGGGAGAAAUCAGCCGCCUGGGCAAGUGCUGACGCUGAGGUGCGAAAGCGUGGGGAGCGAACCGG